GCAGCCCGGGUUAAAAGACGAAGCAAAUCCUGCGUGGUGCUUCCUAGGACCGGGGGGGUAGCUGCUGCUGGCUGUGAGUGCCCUUGCAGUUCAGCUGGAACCAGGACAUGUUGGUUCCCUUGCUGGUUCCAUUGCUGCACUGUUAGAUUCUCCCUCUUCAAGUCAAGGGGAGAGCUUCUCACCAGCUGCUCAGCCUCAUCUACCGCAGCCACCAAGGUCUUGGGGACAUCGAAUGACACGUCCAUUGUCCACUACAGGGUGGCCUCAAUGGCCCUGAGCUGGCAGUGCAGCUCCCAGGAGAACACAGUGGCUUUGUGACAUGCAGCCACCAAGUCCCCCAGGGCCUCCUCCACCUGCUGUUUCCUCUUGGUGGCUGCCAUCCCUCGGAUGGUGAACACCACGGCCUCUCUCCUGGCCAUGGUGGCCAUCUGUUGCCAUCUUACUGCAAAGGUUUUGUACCUUCUUGGUGAUCCCUCAUGGGCAGCUCCUCACAGCACUGACUCCUUCUUCUCAGUACAGCCAACAAGCUCCAUCUAACUUCUCGAGCAGCCAAUCUACUCUUUUACAAUUCCUAUCCUAAUUGGAUCUAGCUGUGGCCUAUUAAGGGCAGGCCUGUUCCUAAUGCUUGAUAAUUAGCACAGCUGUAACUUCUUAGGGGUGAGAUUACCUUCAUCACUAUCUCUAUUUUCCUACAUUCCACCCAUCCACAGCCACCAGCUCCUUGUUGCUGGCCGCCACCACCCAGGCCUUGAGAGCAGCCAUUGCCUCUAUUUCCAGGGCCAGUAUUGUGGACGGGACAUGCCUUGGCUUGUCUCACCCCUGCUGCUGACCCAAAUAGCAGCAAGUGUCACAGGUGUUUCACCCUGGAGAUGCUUUUGGCUAGAUGGAUGUUGCAGCUGGGCGCGUGGGGACAAGCCCAGACGUGCCAGGGCAUAGAAAAUAUGACUGGUCCUUUAAUUCUCGUGAUGUGGGUCCAACCCUUUUCUCUGGUCCACACAGCCGAAUUAGCAAUGAGGAGUACCUGAAAGGGGUCUUCAAAUUCAGGCAUUAAUGGUCUAUAAUUCCAGGAUUUUAUUAAAACCCAAUCUCCUGGGUUAAUGUUAUGUACUUUUGUGUCAAGAGGGGAGGUUUGGGGGACAUAUCCUCUUUUUCUAAGUUCUUCCAGGGUUCUUCCAAUGACUUCUAAAUAUUUUCUGGUAGCUUCUUCUCCUUCCAGAUAGUCUCCUAUGCUAUAGGGUGUUAACGAGAAUGGCAGUCCAAACAUCAUUUCAUAGGGUGAAAUCCCUAUAUCAUACCAGGGUCUUGUUCUGAUGUGCAAAAGCGCUAGGGGCAAACACUUUAGCCAAUUCAUUUUUGUUUCUUCAAUCCAUUUAGUCAAUACAUUUUUGAGAGUUUUGCUCAUCUGCUCCACCCUCCCAGAACUCUGGGGAUGCCACGGAGUAUGUAAUGUCCAUUUUAUUCUAAAGCUUCGAUUAUAUUUUGGGCCACAAAAUGUGGACCUCGGUCUGAGUCUAUGGUGCUCACCAUUCCAUAUCUGGAGGUAAUAUUCUCCAAGAUUACUCUUGCCACGACCUGGGCUGUUUCCCUUUUAGUUGGGAAGGCUUCCACCUAAUGUGCCCGGUCUCUCUGCAAUAACAGCAGCGCGUUUCUCUCAAAGGGACUUGAGGUCUCUCCAUUCCUCCUGUACUUGGUGGUGCUGGCCUAUCCUUGCCUGUGUCUGGUAGUGGACCUCCCCACUCUUUUGUUACCUUGGAUUGUGGGAUAGAGUUUCUUUCCUCCACACUUUCUCUAGCU